rnacentral:SRP_RNA from 1 species
UCCUUGGUUCCUCGCAUUGAAAACUUGUUAACCUGGUCAGAGCCGGAAGGCAGCAGCCAUAGCAAGCGAUUCAAGUGCCGAGGGUUCGCUGGGGAGUC